UGGGGGAUAUUGCACAAUGGGCGAAAGCUUGAUGCAGCGACGCCGCGUGGGGGAUGAAGGCCUUCGGGUUGUAAACUUCUUUUGCUCUGAACAAGGCAAGCCUUUGGGGUGUGUUGAGAGUAGGGGUUGAUUAGCGCCGGCUAACUACGUGCCAGCAGCCGCGGUAAUACGUAGGGCGGGCGCGUUGUCCGGAAUUAUUGGGCGUAAAGGGCUUGUAGGUGGCUGGUGGCGUCUGUCGGGGAAGCUCAUGGCUUAACUGUGGGUUUGCGGUGGGUACGGGCUGGCUUGAGUGCAGUAGGGGGGGCUGGAAUUCCUGGUUUAGCGGUGGAAAGCGCAGAUAUCAGGAGGAAUACCGGUGGCGAAAGCGGGUCUCUGGGCUGUUACUGGCGCUUGGGGGCGGAAGCGUGGGGGGCGAACAGG
rnacentral:rRNA from 1 species